AUGAAGUUGACACAAGAGAAAACAGCACAGUCGCCAAACACCAUUUCUGUAUCCCUCACUUCUCAGCAGAUCUACAGGCUCCUAGCACUCUCCCUUUGGGAUUCCAGGGUUUGGUUUGGAGAAAUGUAAUAUGACUGAAGUCUGCUGGCUAUGAGAGGAAAGCUUCUCAUCAGAUUUAGAACUGUGAGCACACCAUUGAAUAUAUCCAAGCAACAGGAGGAAUAUUCUUCAUGAGCUACUUAUAUAAAAUGUAAGUAUGAAAAAGAAUUCUGUAUGAAAUGUGCCAGAGAAAAAGACUAAGAAUGUGGCUCUUUGAUAGCAUGGGAAUCAAAUGGUUUAUUUUUAAUCCAGAAUUCACUUGCUAGUUCUGUGACCUAUUUGUGUCUCAGCAUCCUCAUCCAAAAAAUGGGCUUAACAGUAGUAGUUAUUGUACAGGAUAAUGGCAAGAAUUCAAGGAUUCACACAGAGCACUUAGCACACUGCCUGCU
rnacentral:lncRNA from 1 species